rnacentral:rRNA from 1 species
CGCGCAGGCGGUCGUUCAAGUCGAGUGUGAAAGCCCCCGGCUCAACUGGGGAGGGUCACUCGAUACUGAUCGACUUGAAGGCAGGAGAGGGAAGCGGAAUUCCCGGUGUAGUGGUGAAAUGCGUAGAUAUCGGGAGGAACACCAGUAGCGAAGGCGGCACCCUGGCUGAGAUCUGACGCUGAAGCGCGACAGCGUGGGGAGCGAACG